UCCUUCUGUCAAAACCACAACCACCUAACCAUUGGCUGGAUUGUUCCAUCAAUCAAAUGUCAGGAAGUAGCUACCCACAUGAGCAAGAGAGGAUUUUUUUUUUWAAGAAAGUUUUUUAACGUUUUUCUUUAGCAAGAGAGGAUGAGGUUGAAGCACAUCCCUAACACCAUACAGAUCUAAAGAACUUGGGAACCUCCCAGCCAUCAGGAAAAUAAUCUUGUUCUUGGAGUUUAUUCACAAGGUUUGUCAUAUGAUUUCCACGAGCCUGGUGAAGAUGUAUACAAUCAUAAUACAAGGCAGGACAUUUCCCUGCAUCCAGUUUGAGGCCUGCUACCAGCAGGAACAUGRAGCACUCCAUGUGCUAGAGACAGAAUAUUCCAAGGACCUCCAGAGCCUUCAGAUCAACUACCUGUGAUCUCUCCAGAGAAGUAAGCUCCGCUGGUGGUAAUAUACUUGAUGCACCAUGUAAACCUUCUUCACUAUGGUUGUCUGUCUGUGUGAUGACACAUAUCAUAUUAUCCAGGGCCACUGGUUGGAUUUACUGUACUCACUCCAAAACACAUGUA